ACCUGGGUGGCUCAGUCGGUUGAGCAUCUGACUUGGACUCAGAUCAUGAUUUCGGGUU
rnacentral:tRNA from 1 species